rnacentral:rRNA from 1 species
UUCGGGACGCCGGCGAGUGGCGAACGGGUGAGUAACACGUGGAGACCUGCCCUGAGGUGGGGGAUAACAGCUAGAAAUGGCUGCUAAUACCGCAUACGCCUUACGAGGGAAAGAUUUAUUGCCUCAGGAGGGUUCCGCGUCGGAUUAGCUUGUUGGUGGGGUAACGGCCUACCCAGGCGAUGAUCCGUAGCUGGUCUUAGAGGAUGAUCAGCCACACUGGGACUGAGACACGGCCCAGACUCCUACGGGAGGCAGCAGUGGGGAAUAUUGCGCAAUGGAGGCAACUCUGACGCAGCGAUGCCGCGUGGGUGAAUAAGGCCUUAGGGUUGUAAAGCCCUUUCAGUGGGAAAGAUGAUGACGGUACCCACAGAAGAAGCCCCGGCUAACUCCGUGCCAGCAGCCGCGGUAAUACGGAGGGGGCGAGCGUUGUUCGGAAUUAUUGGGCGUAAAGAGCGCGUAGGCGGUUUAUUAAG